GUAGUCUCGCACAGAUGCAUAUCAAUAAGCGGAGGAAAAGAAACUAACAAGGAUUCCCCUAGUAACGGCGAGUGAAGCGGGAAGAGCUCAAAUUUGAAAUCUUAAAGGGUUUCCCUUUACGAAUUGUAGUUUAAAGAAGUGUUUUCUGUUGAGGUUUUGGUAAAAGUUCUUUGGAAUAGGACAUCAUAGAGGGUGAGAAUCCCGUAUUUGACCUUUACUUUCAACUUUGUGAUACACUUUCAAAGAGUCGGAUUGUUUGGGAAUGCAGUCCAAAAUGGGUGGUAAAUUUCAUCUAAAGCUAAAUAUUGGCGAGAGACCGAUAGCGAACAAGUACCGUGAGGGAAAGAUGAAAAGAACUUUGAAAAGAGAGUUAAACAGUACGUGAAAUUGAUCAAAAGGGAAGCGUUUGACACCAGUGUUGUUUUUCUGAAAAUCAAUUAAAGAACUGUUUAUGCUAAGCUGUUUAGACUUUAUCAGCUAACUGUUUAGUUUUGAGCUUUUCUUUAAUGCACUUUUCAGUUAACAAGUCAACAUCAAUUUCUUUUACUGUAAAAAAGCUUGAGGAAGGUGGCUUGAGAUUCGUCUUAAGUGUUUAUAGCCUCUUGCCUAUGCAGUCGGAGAGAUUGAGGUCUGCAGCGUAGAUCCUUCGGGGCUAAAUGCAUUUGUGCUAAGUUAUAGCAUUUUAUAGACAACUUGUUGACUAUGAUUUGUCUUGUAGCUUACUCGCUUAUGUUAUUUUACCUACGCUUAGGAUGUUGAUCUGUAGUGCGUGCGC
rnacentral:rRNA from 1 species